GCCAGGCAUGGUGGUGCAUGCCUGUAAUCCCAGCUACUCAGGAGGCUGAGGCAGAAGAAUUGCUCGAACCCAGAGGCAGAGGUUGCAGUGAGCCGAGUUCAUGCCACUGCACUCCAGCCUGGGCGACAGAGCAAUACUCUGUCUCAA
rnacentral:SRP_RNA from 2 species